rnacentral:rRNA from 1 species
AAACUGCGAAAAGCGCCGGUAAGGUGAUAUGAACCGUUAUAACCGGCGAUGUCCGAAUGGGGAAACCCGGUGCACUUCGGUGCAUCAUCGUUAGCUGAAUACAUAGGCUAACGAGGCGAACCGGGGGAACUGAAACAUCUAAGUACCCCGAGGAAAAGAAAUCAACCGAGAUUCCCCCAGUAGCGGCGAGCGAACGGGGAACAGCCCAGAGCCUGAAUCAGCUUGUGUGUCAGUGGAACGGUCUGGAAAGGCCGGCGAUACAGGGUGACAGCCCCGUACACGAAGGCACACAGGCUGUGAGCUCGAUGAGUAGGGCGGGACACGUGAUAUCCUGUCUGAAGAUGGGGGGACCAUCCUCCAAGGCUAAAUACUCCUGACUGACCGAUAGUGAACCAGUACCGUGAGGGAAAGGCGAAAAGAACCCCGGCGAGGGGAGUGAAACAGAACCUGAAACCGUGUACGUACAAGCAGUGGGAGCCUUCGUAAGAGGGUGACUGCGUACCUUUUGUAUAAUGGGUCAGCGACUUAUAUUCUGUAGCAAGGUUAACCGUAUAGGGGAGCCGAAGGGAAACCGAGUCUUAACCGGGCGUUAAGUUGCAGGGUAUAGACCCGAAACCCGGUGAUCUAGCCAUGGGCAGGUUGAAGGUUGGGUAACACUAACUGGAGGACCGAACCGACUAAUGUUGAAAAAUUAGCGGAUGACCUGUGGCUGGGGGUGAAAGGCCAAUCAAACCGGGAGAUAGCUGGUUCUCCCCGAAAGCUAUUUAGGUAGCGCCUCGUGAAUUCAUCUCCGGGGGUAGAGCACUGUUUCGGCUAGGGGGCCAUCCCGGCUUACCAACCCGAUGCAAACUGCGAAUACCGGAGAAUGUUAUCACGGGAGACACACGGCGGGUGCUAACGUCCGUCGUGAAGAGGGAAACAACCCAGACCGCCAGCUAAGGUCCCAAAGUCAUGGUUAAGUGGGAAACGAUGUGGGAAGGCCCAGACAGCCAGGAUGUUGGCUUAGAAGCAGCCAUCAUUUAAAGAAAGCGUAAUAGCUCACUGGUCGAGUCGGCCUGCGCGGAAGAUGUAACGGGGCUAAACCAUGCACCGAAGCUGCGGCAGCGACGCUUAUGCGUUGUUGGGUAGGGGAGCGUUCUGUAAGCCUGCGAAGGUGUGCUGUGAGGCAUGCUGGAGGUAUCAGAAGUGCGAAUGCUGACAUAAGUAACGAUAAAGCGGGUGAAAAGCCCGCUCGCCGGAAGACCAAGGGUUCCUGUCCAACGUUAAUCGGGGCAGGGUGAGUCGACCCCUAAGGCGAGGCCGAAAGGCGUAGUCGAUGGGAAACAGGUUAAUAUUCCUGUACUUGGUGUUACUGCGAAGGGGGGACGGAGAAGGCUAUGUCGGCCGGGCGACGGUUGUCCCGGUUUAAGCGUGUAGGCUGACUUUCCAGGCAAAUCCGGAAGGUUAAGGCUGAGGCGUGAUGACGAGGCACCACGGUGCUGAAGUGACAAAUGCCCUGCUUCCAGGAAAAGCCUCUAAGCAUCAGGUAACAUCAAAUCGUACCCCAAACCGACACAGGUGGUCAGGUAGAGAAUACCAAGGCGCUUGAGAGAACUCGGGUGAAGGAACUAGGCAAAAUGGUGCCGUAACUUCGGGAGAAGGCACGCUGACAUGUAGGUGAAGCCCCUGCGGGUGGAGCUGAAGUCAGUCGAAGAUACCAGCUGGCUGCAACUGUUUAUUAAAAACACAGCACUGUGCAAACACGAAAGUGGACGUAUACGGUGUGACGCCUGCCCGGUGCCGGAAGGUUAAUUGAUGGGGUUAUCGCAAGAGAAGCUCCUGAUCGAAGCCCCGGUAAACGGCGGCCGUAACUAUAACGGUCCUAAGGUAGCGAAAUUCCUUGUCGGGUAAGUUCCGACCUGCACGAAUGGCGUAAUGAUGGCCAGGCUGUCUCCACCCGAGACUCAGUGAAAUUGAACUCGCUGUGAAGAUGCAGUGUACCCGCGGCAAGACGGAAAGACCCCGUGAACCUUUACUACAGCUUGACACUGAACAUUGAGCCUUGAUGUGUAGGAUAGGUGGGAGGCUUUGAAGCGUGGACGCCAGUCUGCGUGGAGCCGACCUUGAAAUACCACCCUUUAAUGUUUGAUGUUCUAACCUGGCGCCGUGAUCCGGCGUGGGGACAGUGUCUGGUGGGUAGUUUGACUGGGGCGGUCUCCUCCCAAAGUGUAACGGAGGAGCACGAAGGUCAGCUAAUCCUGGUCGGACAUCAGGAGGUUAGUGCAAUGGCAUAAGCUGGCUUGACUGCGAGAGUGACGGCUCGAGCAGGUGCGAAAGCAGGUCAUAGUGAUCCGGUGGUUCUGUAUGGAAGGGCCAUCGCUCAACGGAUAAAAGGUACUCCGGGGAUAACAGGCUGAUACCGCCCAAGAGUUCAUAUCGACGGCGGUGUUUGGCACCUCGAUGUCGGCUCAUCACAUCCUGGGGCUGAAGUAGGUCCCAAGGGUAUGGCUGUUCGCCAUUUAAAGUGGUACGCGAGCUGGGUUUAGAACGUCGUGAGACAGUUCGGUCCCUAUCUGCCGUGGGCGCUGGAGAAUUGAGGGGGGCUGCUCCCAGUACGAGAGGACCGGAGUGGACGCAUCACUGGUGUUCGGGUUGUCAUGCCAAUGGCACUGCCCGGUAGCUAAAUGCGGAAGAGAUAAGUGCUGAAAGCAUCUAAGCACGAAACUUGCCCCGAGAUGAGUUCUCCCUGAGACUGUAAGUCUCCUGAAGGAACGUUGAAGACGACGACGUUGAUAGGCCGGGUGUGUAAGCGCAGCGAUGCGUUGAGCUAACCGGUACUAAUGAACCGUGAGGCUUAACCUUACAACGCCAAAGAAGU